UACGUAGGGCGCAAGCGUUGUCCGGAAUUAUUGGGCGUAAAGAGCUCGUAGGCGGCUUGUCACGUCGGGUGUGAAAGCCCGGGGCUUAACCCCGGGUCUGCAUUCGAUACGGGCAGGCUAGAGUGUGGUAGGGGAGAUCGGAAUUCCUGGUGUAGCGGUGAAAUGCGCAGAUAUCGGGAGGAACACCGGUGGCGAAGGCGGUUCUCUGGGCCUUACCUGACGCUGAGUAGCGAAAGCGUGGGGAGCGAACAGG
rnacentral:rRNA from 1 species